UAGGGAAUUGUUCGCAAUGGGCGCAAGCCUGACGACGCAACGCCGCGUGGAGGAUGAAGAUCUUCGGGUCGUAAACUCCUUUCGAUCGAGACGAAUGGCCUCUGGGCUAAUCACCAGAGGAAUGACGGUACCGAGAGAAGAAGCCCCGGCUAACUCCGUGCCAGCAGCCGCGGUAAUACGGGGGGGGCAAGCGUUGUUCGGAAUUACUGGGCGUAAAGGGCUCGUAGGCGGCCAACUAAGUCAGACGUGAAAUCCCUCGGCUUAACCGGGGAACUGCGUCUGAUACUGGAUGGCUGGAGUUUGGGAGAGGGAUGCGGAAUUCCAGGUGUAGCGGUGAAAUGCGUAGAUAUCUGGAGGAACACCGGUAGCGAAGGCGGCAUCCUGGACCAAUACUGACGCUGAGGAGCGAAAGCCAGGGGAGCAAACGGG
rnacentral:rRNA from 1 species